UGGGGAAUUUUGGACAAUGGGCGCAAGCCUGAUCCAGCCAUGCCGUGUGAGUGAAGAAGGCCUUCGGGUUGUAAAGCUCUUUCGGCGGGGAAGAAAUGGCACGCUCUAACAUAGCGUGUUGAUGACGGUACCCGCAUAAGAAGCACCGGCUAACUACGUGCCAGCAGCCGCGGUAAUACGUAGGGUGCGAGCGUUAAUCGGAAUUACUGGGCGUAAAGCGUGCGCAGGCGGUUUCGUAAGACAGAGGUGAAAUCCCCGGGCUCAACCUGGGAAUGGCCUUCGUGACCGCGAGGCUAGAGUGUGACAGAGGGGGGUAGAAUUCCACGUGUAGCAGUGAAAUGCGUAGAGAUGUGGAGGAAUACCGAUGGCGAAGGCAGCCCCCUGGGUUACUACUGACGCUCAUGCACGAAAGCGUGGGGAGCAAACA
rnacentral:rRNA from 1 species